rnacentral:misc_RNA from 1 species
GGACACUAUAGAUAUAUUAUAAGGUACGUAAAGACCCGCACCAAAUAUAUACUAAUACGCACCAAAAUGCUAAAGACCGUUAACCACCUGCGGUCUGAAGGUUUCGGAGCGGGACGCGGAAGAUCUCCCGAUUGCGGCGGGAGGGCUUUCAACAUUUAAUUCCUCGGACUCACUGCGCGCAUUUUGAUUGAUCUUCGAAUCCGUCAAGACGUAUUGCGAAGAUUCUAUGUUAUUCAAUUGCGACUUCAAUAGGCGAGCAA